AGUGAACGCUGGCGGCAGGCCUAAUACAUGCAAGUCGAACGGCAGCACAGCAGAGCUUGCUCUGUGGGUGGCGAGUGGCGGACGGGUGAGGAAUACGUGGGAAUCUGCCCAGUCGUGGGGGAUAACGUAGGGAAACUUACGCUAAUACCGCAUGCGCCCUUCGGGGAAAGCCGGGGACCUUCGGGCCUGGCGCGAUUGGAUGAGCCCACGUCGGAUUAGCUAGUUGGCGGGGUAAAGGCCCACCAAGGCGACGAUCCGUAGCUGGUCUGAGAGGAUGAUCAGCCACACUGGAACUGAGACACGGUCCAGACUCCUACGGGAGCAGCAGUAGAGAAUAUUGGACAGUGGGCGCAAGCCUGAUCCAGCCAUGCCGCGUGAGUGAAGAAGGCCCUCGGGUUGUAAAGCUCUUUUGUCCGGAAAGAAAAGACGCCGGGUUAAUACCCUGGUGUCCUGACGGUACCGGAAGAAUAAGCACCGGCUAACUUCGUGCCAGCAGCCGCGGUAAU
rnacentral:rRNA from 1 species